rnacentral:misc_RNA from 1 species
AAGUCGUAACAAGGUUUCCGUAGGUGAACCUGCGGAAGGAUCAUUAACACUUUUGAAAGCAUCCAAUAUCAACAAAUCACAACCAAACGGUCAACUAUCUCCUCCCUAUUUCGCACACCGGAGACGGUACGAGUAGGCUAACAUGUAAAUAACAAGCUCAAGCAAUUGCGCAUGUUAUUUUCAAACACAAGAUAACCCCUUUUAAUUAUAUUAUUCAUUUAAUAUAAACGAACAACUCUUCGAACAAGUCCGAACUAAACUAAAAUAUACAUUCGAUAUAUUUUUAUUUUACGAAAUAAUAUAUAUUUAUAAGAACAACUCUUAGCAAUGGAUAUCUUGGUUCUC